AGGACGAACGCUGGCGGCGUGCUUAACACAUGCAAGUCGAGCGGAAAGGCCCUUCGGGGUACUCGAGCGGCGAACGGGUGAGUAACACGUGAGCAACCUGCCCUUAGCUUCGGGAUAGCUCCGGGAAACCGGAAUUAAUACCGGAUAUGACAACGGCCGACAUCGGCCAUUGUGGAAAGUUUUUCGGCUAGGGAUGGACUCGCGGCCUAUCAGCUAGUUGGUGAGGUAACGGCUCACCAAGGCGACGACGGGUA
rnacentral:rRNA from 1 species